CCCUUCCUUCCUUCCUUCCUUCCUUCCUUUUGCAAGGGAAAUGACAUCCCCAUCUGGGCAGUGCUCACAGUCCAAGCCCCCUGCUCCUCCUCCUCCUCCUCCUCUUGUUUCUCCUUUUGCAACACUUCAGCCACGAUGGAGGAGGAGGAGGAGGAGGAGGAGGAGGAGGAGGAGGGCUUCCCCCCAAGGAGACGCCAACAGUGAGCGUUUGGACUGGCUUUGGCUCCAUCUAGGACCACAACUUCAUAGUAAAAAUGUAGAUAUGAAGGUCCAAGAGAAGAGUCAAUAAUACACAUUUGUUGUGUCUGACUAAAAACAAAGCUCUCAUUGUCCACUGGAAGGAGAGAAAAAACAAUCAAACCAUUAUUUAAUAUUCAACAUCAUAAAUUGGUAUAUACAAGCAAAUUGUAUGAAUAACUUAUUUUGCCUAAUUCUCCAUUAUAAGGAAUGCCUAAUAUAUUCAUGCUUAUUUUUUGUUGAAAGUAGAAUUUUUCUGCCCAUUCUUUUAUGAAAACUUGUAUAAAGUCUCCACCUGGUGGUCAUGCUUACAAGUCACAACCUAUUAAACGAAUGUUCACUUCUCUAGUAAUAUAGAAUGUCUUCCUAAUUGAAAAAAAAAAAAAGAAUAAGUUUUCUGUGAGCUUUUUCACAUUCCAGAUUUUUGAUCAAAUAAUAGGGCACGAGCGAAGCCUCCCAGCAGGAUGUUAACACAUCCAGGCAUCCCCUGGGCAACAUCUUUGAAGACAGCCAAUUCUCUCACACCAGAAACGAUUUGCAGUAUGUUCUCAAUUUGCUUCUGACACAAUAAAAAAAAUCAAAUUAACAAAGUUUGACAUCACUUUAAAUGCCAUGGCUCAGUGCUAUGGAAUCAUGAGAGUUGUAGUUUUAACCUUUUCC
rnacentral:lncRNA from 11 species